rnacentral:lncRNA from 1 species
AGACUGGACAUGGCAGGGAUGUUUAUUUUUUAUGCUAAGGCAUUUGUGCAUAGCGGUUUCUCUCCCUUUCCAGGAGAGCACGUUGCAGACUGGACAUGGCAGGGAUGUUUGUUUUAUGUUAAGGCCUUUGUGCAUGCUGGUUUCUCUUCCUUUCGAGGAGGGCAUGUCGCAGAUUGGACAUGGCAGGGAUGUUUUUUUAUGUUAAGGCCUUUGUGCAUGCUGGUUUCUCUCCCUUUCCAGGAGAGCGCGUCCCAGAUUUGACAUGGCAGGGAUGUUUUUUAAGGACAGGUCCUUUGUUUAUGCUUGUUUCUCUCCAUUUCGAGGAGAGCACGUCGCAGACUGGACAAGGCAGGGAUGUUUUAUUAUUUGGUCAGGCCUUUGUGCAUGCUUGUUUCUCUCCCUUUCCAGGAGGGCGCAUCGCAGAUUGGACAUGGCAGGGAUGUUUUUUUUAUGUUAUGGCCUUUGUGCAUGCUUGUUUCUCUCCCUUUCCAGGAGAGCG